AGUAACCAGCAGGUAGCCUAGUGGUUAGAGUGUCGGGCCAGUAACCAGCAGGUAGCCUAGUGGUUGGAGUGUUGGGCCAGUAACCAGCAGGUAGCCUAGUGGUUAGAGUGUUGGGCCAGUAACCAGCAGGUAGCCUAGUGGUUAGAGCGUUGGGCCAGUAACCAGCAGGUAGCCUAGUGGUUAGAGCGUUGGGCCAGUAACCAGCAGGUAGCCUAGUGGUUAGAGCGUUGGGCCAGUAACCAGCAGGUAGACUAGUGGUUAGAGCGUUGGGCCAGUAACCAGCAGGUAGCCUAGUGGUUGGAGCGUUGGGCCAGUACCCAGCAGGUAGCCUAGUGGUUAGAGCGUUGGGCCAGUAACCAGCAGGUAGCCUAGUGGUUAGAGCGUUGGGCCAGUAACCAGCAGGUAGCCUAGUGGUUAGAGCGUUGGGCCAGUAACCAGCAG
ensembl:lncRNA